UGCAACUUGCUCCUAACGGCCGCUCCGUGUCGCCAUGCCGGCAGAUGUCAGCAAGUGGACCGGGCCCUUGAGCCUGCAGGAGGUGGAUGAGCAGCCCGAGUACCCACUGCAGGUUGCUUACGGCGGGGUGGAGGUGGACCAGCUGGGCAAGGUGCUGACGCCCACCCAGGUUAAGAACAGACCCACCAGCAUUUCUUGGGAUGGUCAGGAUCCUGAUAAACUCUACACCCUGGUUCUGACGGACCCGGAUGCUCCCAGCCGACAGAAUCCCAAGUUCAGGGAGUGGCACCAUUUUCUGGUGGUCAACAUGAAGGGCAAUGGUAUCAGCAGUGGCACCGUGCUCUCCGACUAUGUGGGCUUCGGGCCUCCCAGUGGCACAGGCCUGCACCGCUAUGUGUGGUUGGUCUACGAGCAGGACAAACCACUCAAAUGCAACGAGCCCAUCCUCAGCAACCGGUCUGGAGACCACCGCGGCAAGUUCAAGGUGGCUGCUUUCCGCAAAAAGUACCAUCUCGGGGCCCCAGUGGCCGGCACAUGUUACCAGGCCGAGUGGGACGACUACGUGCCCAAACUGUACGAGCAGCUGUCUGGGAAGUAGGGGCGACUCCAAGGCCACAUUGUUCUGGAGACCCCAAGCAGUGUUCUUGAUUUCCGUUCAGUGAUGCAUGUAGGUUUCUCCUUUGUCCCACACCUGAGACCUGAGCUGUCCCUAGUGGUGUAGGGUGACUUUUCCUGCUGCCUGUUCUUUUGGGUUCUAGAGAGUCAUACUUCCCAGUUUUUGUUCUGGCCAAAUUUGAGCUCUGUUUUGAGGGAUAUUUUGGUACUGUGGUGGGAUCAACAUGUUAAUAAAAGUAUAGCAGUCCAUGAUUUAAGGAGAAAAAAAGCCAAAUGAAAAGACCAGGUAUACAGAAAGAGAGCAGAUUAUCAAAUAAUCUGUAAGGGAGGCAAAAAAAAGGAUUGGUUGUCACAGCCUUCAUGAGUCCUGAGUCGUGUUUAUCAUGGUGCAGGACAGCAGGAGGCUCCCAUCUUGGGUCAACCAGGAUGGGACGGUACAGCUCUGGCAGCUUAAAAGGUGUGAUAGCUUUCUCUGGGUCCUUUAAAGGGCACAGCUGGAAGCAGAGUUGAGGGGGUGGCUCUUUUCUUGCAGAUGUCUGACCAUCUAGAUUAGCAGGGGGUUGGGGUGACAGGUCAUCAGGAUCCUUAAAUUGUCCUCUGAGUUGGUCACUUGUCAUUGGUCUCAGAAAAGCUGGGCUAGAGUUGCUUACUGUUGUGUUCAUUCUGAUGUUUGCUAAUUGCUCAAUAAAAACGAAAACACUGAA